UUGCGCAAGUGCUAUUUGAAUGAGCAAUCUUCGCAAUCCUCUGCUGCCGCUCUAGCCCUAUGCUUAUACCCAGAAUCACUGCCCGGACAUCAGUCCAGUGCAGCUGGCCUUAUCAGGGCAGCUGCGGCCAGCAACCCAACAGGGUUGUGCUCGGCCCCCGGGCUACACACUGUUCACAAGACAGCGUGAGGUGAGCCGACGUCACAAGCGUCGAGCACGGACAAAAUUCUCAAAGGGAGACCCCAGGGUCUCCCU
rfam:Pseudomonas alkylphenolica strain KL28 chromosome, complete genome.